AUUCCAGCUCCAAUAGCGUAUAUUAAUGUUGUUGCAGUUAAAAAGCUCGUAGUUGGAUUUCUGAUGGGAUCGACCCGGUCGGCUCCGAAAGGGGUCGCACUGGUGGUCUGUCCGGUCAUCCUCGAGGGGAGGCUUUCUGGCAUUCAUUUGUUGGGGAGUCGACGCUCGUCGUUUACUGUGAACAAAUUAGAGUGUUCAAAGCAGGCUUAGGCCGUUGAAUACAUUAGCAUGGAAUAAUAAGAUAGGACUCUGGUGGUUUAUUUUGUUGGUUUGCACGCCGAAGUAAUGAUUAAUAGGGACAGUUGGGGACAUUUAUAUUCCAUGGCUAGAGGUGAAAUUCUUGGAUUCAUGGAAGAUAAACUACUGCGAAAGCAUUUGUCAAAGAUGUUUUCAUUA
rnacentral:rRNA from 1 species